UGCGUAGGCGGUAUUAUAAGUCAGUGGUGAAAUGUUGCAGCUUAACUGUAAAAUUGCCAUUGAAACUGCAGUACUUGAGUUAUCUUGAAGUAGGCGGAAUGUGUAGUGUAGCGGUGAAAUGCUUAGAUAUUACACAGAACACCGAUUGCGAAGGCAGCUUACUAAGGGUAAACUGACGCUGAUGCACGAAAGCGUGGGGAUCGAACAGGAUUAGAUACCCUGGCAGUCCACGCCGUAAACGAUGAUAACUCGCUGUUGGCGAUACACAGUCAGCGGCUUAGCGAAAGCGUUAAGUUAUCCACCUGGGGAGUACGCUCGCAAGAGUGAA
rnacentral:rRNA from 1 species